GAGGGGCUUGCUCUUCAAUUUAGUGGCGCACGGGUGAGUAACGCGUGGAUAAUCUGCCCUGGUGUCCGGGAUAACAUUUCGAAAGGGGUGCUAAUACCGGAUAAGCCCACGGAGUCUUCGGACUUUGCGGGAAAAGGUGGCCUCUAUUUAUAAGCUACUGUAUCAGGAUGAGUCCGCGUACCAUUAGCUAGUUGGCGGGGUAAUGGCCCACCAAGGCGACGAUGGUUAGCUGGUCUGAGAGGAUGAUCAGCCACACUGGAACUGGGACACGGUCCAGACUCCUACGGGAGGCAGCAGUGGGGAAUUUUGCGCAAUGGGGGAAACCCUGACGCAGCAACGCCGCGUGAGUGAUGAAGGCCUUCGGG
rnacentral:rRNA from 1 species